UCCUUUUAUUUGGCAGGACAAAUCAGUUUAUAGAGUAAAUCCAUUGAUGAGGAAGCGAAAACAAGCCUCCUUGACCCUGACUGAACUUCCUCCUGCUAUUCCCCCCCAGGGGUGAGGAGAAUCGAGCUGACAGAUUCCCAGCAACACAGCCAAGGACGCGGAGAAGGCAGCUCCGGGAGCCCAGGGGCCCAGGGGCAGCAGCUGCGGGAAGGUCCACGUGCGCGCGCACGCCCACACUUUGCAGGCAACCGGUGGGAAGACAAUCCUGAAGGGACCAACAAUGAGAAAACAACUCACUGUGUGUGUGUGCACAUGUGUGCCUGGGCACAGCUGCCUCCCCCGAAGUCUUUCAUGGAUACUCCGAAGAAAAAAAGACAGUUGUUAACAGGGAGUAUUUGGUCCCCAGCCGCAGUAUCUUUCACACAUUGGGGGGACUCAAAAAAUAUGUGUUGAGUGAAUGGAAUCACAUCUGCCAGAUCAUUUUCCGUAGUACAGAAGACAGCUACCAAGUUUCUGUUCCCUUGAAACCAAUGUCACCUUCAUUAAAAUCUGAUUAUUAUAGCCUUUGGCUUUUCAUUUGCAGAGAUGAUGCCCAGUGUCUAUUUUUCUGCUGGGCAUUAUAGCUGGAGCUAAUGAAAGAGAAUGAUUAGAAAGACACAGUCAGUCCCUGUCCUCAACUGGCUGACUGUCCCAUGGGAAUGAUACACGAGGUGACAGUCAUGAAAUGGUGUAAUGAUAAGGGGACCCAAGUGACUAGGAGAGCAAAGGGGCCCUUGGCUUUCAGGAAAUAGAGCUGGGAUUGGAGCCCCAGGGAAGGCUUGUAGGGGGGCAGGAAGCCCAAUGGUUCUUUACUUUUUUUUCUUCCUUUUUAAAAACUUUGUGAGAUGGAAAAUUUCAAACAUAUACCAAAGUAGAGAGAUGAUUUAACAACUAUUUACAAGUGGCAAUUUUGUUUCAUCCGUACUCUCCUCACUGCCCCCAAGCCCUCAAUGGACUAUUUUGAAACCAAUUCCAGACCUCAUAUUAUUGUAUCCAUAAAUAUUUUGGUAUGUAUCUCCAAGAGACAAAGAUUCUUGUUUUUAUUUAAAAAGUCGUAACUACAAUCCUAGUGUCUCACCUAAAAAUCAAUAAUAAUUUCUUAAUAUUUUCAAAUAUCCACUCAGAUUCAAAUUUCAUCUGUCUCAAGAUUUUUUUUCGAGAUUCAGAAAGGUCCACACACUACAUCUCAUUAAUUUUGGAGUAUAUUUUGAAUGGCAUGAAGAGUCACCCAAGGGAAUGUGCAACCCAAAUCCAGAUGGGCUUCGGGCUUUGCCAGUUUCCCUGAGCCUAGCAGGCCAGACAGAAGUCUCCUCAGCUCUCUGGGAGGCAGUUUUAUAGUAACAUCUUAUCUCUGUCACUCUCAUGUGACACAAACUUCUCUAGAUCCUGCAGCACCUGUUUGAGUGACGGUCUCUUUCCUUUUCCACCAGAACGCAGCUCAGCCACAUACUUGAAAAUUCCAUCACCAGUGCCUUGAUGAUGCGUGCAGUUGAUUGGAAUGUCACUGCUCCAGUCUCAGAAUUUCGCCUGGGUGCCUCCACAGGAGAUUACGACUCUACGUGCUUCUCUUUGCUUUGGAAAGAGUUACUCCAAAUAUAUACUGAUUUGUGAGUUUUCAAAGGAUCAGAUCUGGAAGGAAGUUGCAGGACAUAUAAAGAAACUCAGAUUGUAUCCUAAAGUACAGUUCUGUAGCAUCCAUUGAAUACUCUAAUGUUGUCACUGAAGAUGAUGAGAAGAUGGUGAAGUGUGGUUUAACGGAACUGGACUUUCUUGAGGUAAAAUCAUUUAAAGCAGUGGGUCUCCAAGUGUGAUCCUCAGGUCAGCAGAAUCAGCAUUACCAGGAAGCGGAAGUUCUAAACUACCACGAAGCCGGCUCUUGGUAUUUCCGGCCUUGCUGAGACCAGAAAGUAGCGGAAGAGACAAAUCUUUCUUGUUAGAGUUCCAAUUUGAUUUCCAAAUCAAGGUGCACAGGAUCAAAGGUCUCUUGAGUACAGAUCAGCGUCCCAAACUUUGAUGCUUAUCUAAAUAAACAGCUUGGAACUCUGCUCUACUAGUUGUAACAUAGGCAGGUGACGGAGAUAAAGAGAUAAAUCAGCUGCUAAGGAAUGAGGGGAAAUUCCCACCUAAGAGCUGAAAGCAACAAUAUUUGAGCAUGUGAUGGUCUUCCUUUUUAAUUUUCUAAGG